GCGCGCCCCUCCGGCGCUUGUCGCAGAGGCUGCCGGGAGACGUAGUCUUGUAACGCUCUCUCGCCGGACAUUCCUAAUGACUGUCUUUCCAGACUGGAGCUAGAGAUUCGCUGGCCUUGAAGAAGCAAGCUGUCAUGUUGCGAACUGCCUAUGGAGAAAACUAAAUGGCAGGGAACUGCAGACGGCUUCUAGAACUUGAGCGCAGCCUGCAGCUGACAACCAGUAAGAAGCCAGGGCCCUCAGUCACACAACCACAAGGAAAUGAAUUCUGCCAACAACCUGAGAGGUGGCCUCCAGAUGAGAAGACAGCCUGACUUAAACCUUGAUAGCAGUUUUGUGAGACCCUGAGCAAAGAAAACAGAUAAACUGUGCGUAGACUCCUGGUCUACAGAAACUGUGAGAUAAUAAAUGUGUCUUAAGAUACU
rnacentral:lncRNA from 1 species